rnacentral:rRNA from 1 species
AGUGAACGCUGGCGGCAGGCCUAACACAUGCAAGUCGAACGGCAGCACAGUAAGAGCUUGCUCUUAUGGGUGGCGAGUGGCGGACGGGUGAGGAAUACAUCGGAAUCUACUCUUUCGUGGGGGAUAACGUAGGGAAACUUACGCUAAUACCGCAUACGACCUACGGGUGAAAGCGGAGGACCUUCGGGCUUCGCGCGAUUGAAUGAGCCGAUGUCGGAUUAGCUAGUUGGCGGGGUAAAGGCCCACCAAGGCGACGAUCCGUAGCUGGUCUGAGAGGAUGAUCAGCCACACUGGAACUGAGACACGGUCCAGACUCCUACGGGAGGCAGCAGUGGGGAAUAUUGGACAAUGGGCGCAAGCCUGAUCCAGCCAUGCCGCGUGGGUGAAGAAGGCCUUCGGGUUGUAAAGCCCUUUUGUUGGGAAAGAAAAGCAGUCGGUUAAUACCCGAUUGUUCUGACGGUACCCAAAGAAUAAGCACCGGCUAACUUCGUGCCAGCCGCCGCGGUAAUAC